rnacentral:rRNA from 1 species
UACGAAGGGGGCUAGCGUUGUUCGGAUUUACUGGGCGUAAAGCGCACGUAGGCGGAUUUUUAAGUCGGGGGUGAAAUCCUGGAGCUCAACUCCAGAACUGCCUUCGAUACUGGAAAUCUUGAGUCCGGAAGAGGUGAGUGGAACUCCUAGUGUAGAGGUGGAAUUCGUAGAUAUUAGGAAGAACACCAGUGGCGAAGGCGGCUCACUGGUCCGGUACUGACGCUGAGGCACGAAAGCGUGGGUAGCGAACAGG